GCCCCGGUAACUCAGUGGUAGAAACUCCUAUAAACGGUGAGCGAAUGACUGUCAAGAGGUCGCAGGUUCGAAUCCUGGCCCGGUGGCU
rnacentral:tRNA from 1 species